GACAGAGGGACCAAGCGUUGUUCGGAAUGACUGGGCGUAAAGGGUGCGUAGGCGGUUACUUAAGCAAGGUGUUAAAGCCCCAGGCUCAACCUGGGAAUCGCGCUUUGAACUGAGUAACUAGAGUGUGAGAGAGGAGAGUAGAAUUCCUAGUGUAGAGGUGAAAUUCGUAGAUAUUAGGAGGAAUACCGGAGGCGAAGGCGGCUCUCUGGAUCAUUACUGACGCUGAGGCACGAAAGCGUGGGGAGCAAAUAGG
rnacentral:rRNA from 1 species